GAUGAACGCUGGCGGCGUGCCUAAUACAUGCAAGUCGAGCGAACGGACGAGAAGCUUGCUUCUCUGAUGUUAGCGGCGGACGGGUGAGUAACACGUGGAUAACCUACCUAUAAGACUGGGAUAACUUCGGGAAACCGGAGCUAAUACCGGAUAAUAUUUUGAACCGCAUGGUUCAAAAGUGAAAGACGGUCUUGCUGUCACUUAUAGAUGGAUCCACGCUGCAUUAGCUAGUUGGUAAGGUAACGGCUUACCAAGGCAACGAUGCAUAGCCGACCUGAGAGGGUGAUCGGCCACACUGGAACUGAGACACGGUCCAGACUCCUACGGGAGGCAGCAGUAGGGAAUCUUCCGCAAUGGGCGAAAGCCUGACGGAGCAACGCCGCGUGAGUGAUGAAGGUCUUCGGAUCGUAAAACUCUGUUAUUAGGGAAGAACAUAUGUGUAAGUAACUGUGCACAUCUUGACGGUACCUAAUCAGAAAGCCACGGCUAACUACGUG
rnacentral:rRNA from 1 species